AGAGUUUGAUCAUGGCUCAGGACGAACGCUGGCGGCGUGCUUAACACAUGCAAGUCGAACGGAAAGGCCCUUCGGGGUACUCGAGUGGCGAACGGGUGAGUAACACGUGGGUGAUCUGCCCUGCACUCUGGGAUAAGCCUGGGAAACUGGGUCUAAUACCGGAUAGGACCGCAUGCUUCAUGGUGUGUGGUGCAAAGCUUUUGCGGUGUGGGAUGAGCCCGCGGCCUAUCAGCUUGUUGGUGGGGUAUGGCCUACCAAGGCGACGACGGGUAGCCGGCCUGAGAGGGUGACCGGCCACACUGGGACUGAGAUACGGCCCAGACUCCUACGGGAGGCAGCAGUGGGGAAUAUUGCACAAUGGGCGCAAGCCUGAUGCAGCGACGCCGCGUGAGGGAUGACGGCCUUCGGGUUGUAAACCUCUUUCAGUAGGGACGAAGCGAAAGUGACGGUACCUACAGAAGAAGGACCGGCCAACUACGUGCCAGCAGCCGCGGUAAUACGUAGGGUCCGAGCGUUGUCCGGAAUUACUGGGCGUAAAGAGCUCGUAGGUGGUUUGUCGCGUUGUUCGUGAAAACUCACAGCUUAACUGUGGGCGUGCGGGCGAUACGGGCAGACUAGAGUACUGCAGGGGAGACUGGAAUUCCUGGUGUAGCGGUGGAAUGCGUAGAUAUCAGGAGGAACACCGGUGGCGAAGGCGGGUCUCUGGGCAGUAACUGACGCUGAGGAGCGAAAGCGUGGGUAGCGAACAGGAUUAGAUACCCCGGUAGUCCAA
rnacentral:rRNA from 1 species